ensembl:lncRNA
GAGCUCAUGGGGGCUGAUCCCGCCCAGGGGAGGGGCCCGUCUGGGCGCAGCUCAGCACACAGGGGUCACCGCCGCACACCCCCAGCCCGUUUCCUGGCCAGAGCUGACCCUGAGCCGCUCAGAGCAGGACCUGGACGGACAGACAGCCGCUCCUGGAAGGAGAUGCGGGUUCCAUUCCUGGGUCGGGAAGAUCCCCUGGAGGAGGGCAUGGCAACCCACUCUAGUACUCUUGCCUGGAGAAGCCUAUGGACAGAGGAGCCUGGCGGGCUGCGGUCCACGCAGUUGCAGAGUCGGUGUGGACGCAGGCAACAGAGCGUUUGGAGUUGCUGUUACACAAAGUGGCCGCAAGGCAGCAGCAUUUCCUCAGGGCCCAGGUGCCGCUAGCAGUAAACAGCCUGCCUGCCAAUGAAGAAGAUGCAAGAGACGCCGUUUCGAUCCCUGGGUCAGGAAGAUCCCCUGGAGGAGGGAGUGACAACCCACUCCAGUUUUCUUGCCUGGAAAACCCCCUGGACAGAGGAGCUUGGUGUCUCAGAGUUGGACACGACUGAGUGACUAAGAACACUCCAAUAUGUAUAUGUUAUUAGCAAACUCUUAAUUUAUCCCUCAUCCUUAACAUCUUUUUGAUAAUUGUAAGUUGGUUUUCUAAGUUUGUGAGUGUUUCUAACUGGGUGAGAUACUUCAUUUCCUUUAGGUGGAUCAGAUUGUAAAGCAUCUGCCUGCAAUGUGGGAGACCCGGGUUCAGUCCCUGGGUUGGAAGAUUCCCUGGAGGAGGACAUGGCAACCCACUCCAAUAUUCUUGCCUGGAGAAUUCCAUGGAUGAAGGAGCCUGGGGGGCUGCAGUCAGUGGGGCUGCAAAGAUUCGGACACGACUGAGCGACUUCACUGCACUCACUGGAGUGUAAUUCUCAGUGAUAUCUCACGGCGUUUGUCUGUCUCUGACCUGCGCUUAAUCAGUGUGUCCAUCCAUGAUGCUGUCGGUGGCAUUAUACCAAACUGCGCUUCUGAUCGCUAAGUGUGUGCUGAGUUGCUUCAGCCGUGUCUGACUCUUUGUGACCCCAUGGACUGCGGCCCCCCAGGCUCCUCCAUCCAUGGGAUUCUCCAGGCAGGAAUCCGGGAGCAGGUUGCCAUUUCCUUCUCCAGGGAUCCUCCCGUCCCAGGGCCUUCUGAUGGGCCUGUCACUAACAGAGGUGACGAGCAUCUUGUCUUGUGCCUCAUGGGAGUCCCUGUGCCUUCUUGGAAGAGAUCUGUUUCCAUCUCGGGCCCUUUUAUUUCUUGGGUUGCUUGCUUUGUUUUUUUGACAUUGAGCUGCACAAACUCUAUGUUUUGGACACGAAUUCCUUGUGGGUAUGUUUGAUUGCAAAUAUAUUUUCGCAUUCUGAGAGUUCUCUUUUUCUUUUGUUUAG